rnacentral:rRNA from 1 species
AACGAACGCUGGCGGCGUGCCUAACACAUGCAAGUCGUGCGAGAAAGUUCCUUCGGGAGCGAGUAAAGCGGCGCACGGGUGAGUAACACGUAGGUAACCUGCCCCCCAGUCUGGAACAACUAGAGGAAACUCUAGCUAAUGCCGGAUGAGACCACGAUCCCUUCGGGGGUUGCGGCCAAAGAUGGCCUCUACUUGUAAGCUAUCGCUGAGGGAUGGGCCUGCGGGCCAUUAGCUUGUUGGUGAGGUAACGGCUCACCAAGGCUGUGAUGGCUAGCUGGUCCGAGAGGAUGACCAGCCACACUGGGACUGAGACACGGCCCAGACUCCUACGGGAGCAGCAGUGGGGAAUAUUGCGCAAUGGGCGAAAGCCUGACGCAGCGACGCCGCGUGGGUGAUGAAGGCCU